GGUUAAGUGAAUAAGGGCGCACGGUGGAUGCCUUGGCACUAGGAGCCGAUGAAGGACGGGACUAACACCGAUAUGCUUUGGGGAGCUGUAAGUAAGCUAUGAUCCAGAGAUUUCCGAAUGGGGGAACCCAAUAUCUUUUAUAGGAUAUUACUUUUCAGUGAAUACAUAGCUGAUUAGAGGUAGACGCAGAGAACUGAAACAUCUUAGUACCUGCAGGAAGAGAAAGAAAAUUCGAUUCCCUGAGUAGCGGCGAGCGAAACGGGAAGAGCCCAAACCAACAAGCUUGCUUGUUGGGGUUGUAGGACUCCAAUAUGGUAGUCUGUUAGUAUAGUUGAAGGAUUUGGAAAAUUCCGCUAAAGAGGGUGAAAGCCCCGUAGACGAAAUGCUGACAACACCUAGGAGGAUCCUGAGUACGGCGGAACACGAGAAAUUCCGUCGGAAUCCGCGGGGACCAUCCCGCAAGGCUAAAUACUCCCUAGUGACCGAUAGUGAACCAGUACCGUGAGGGAAAGGUGAAAAGCACCCCGGAAGGGGAGUGAAAUAGAUCCUGAAACCGUGUGCCUACAACAAGUCAAAGCUCGUUAAUGAGUGAUGGCGUGCCUUUUGUAGAAUGAACCGGCGAGUUACGAUUGCAUGCGAGGUUAAGUCGAAGAGACGGAGCCGCAGCGAAAGCGAGUCUGAAUAGGGCGAAUGAGUAUGUAGUCGUAGACCCGAAACCAUGUGAUCUACCCAUGUCCAGGUUGAAGGUGCGGUAAAACGCACUGGAGGACCGAACCCACGUACGUUGAAAAGUGCGGGGAUGAGGUGUGGGUAGCGGAGAAAUUCCAAACGAACUUGGAGAUAGCUGGUUCUCUCCGAAAUAGCUUUAGGGCUAGCCUCGGAAUUGAGAAUGAUGGAGGUAGAGCACUGUUUGGACUAGGGGCCCAUCUCGGGUUACCGAAUUCAGAUAAACUCCGAAUGCCAUUCAUUUAUAUCCGGGAGUCAGACUGCGAGUGAUAAGAUCCGUAGUCGAAAGGGAAACAGCCCAGACCACCAGCUAAGGUCCCAAAAUAUAUGUUAAGUGGAAAAGGAUGUGGGGUUGCACAGACAACUAGGAUGUUGGCUUAGAAGCAGCCACCAUUUAAAGAGUGCGUAAUAGCUCACUAGUCGAGUGACCCUGCGCCGAAAAUGUACCGGGGCUAAACAUAUUACCGAAGCUGUGGACUACACCAUUAGGUGUAGUGGUAGGAGAGCGUUCUAAGGGCGUUGAAGGUCGAUCGUGAGGACGGCUGGAGCGCUUAGAAGUGAGAAUGCCGGUAUGAGUAGCGAAAGACAGGUGAGAAUCCUGUCCACCGUAUGACUAAGGUUUCCUGGGGAAGGCUCGUCCGCCCAGGGUUAGUCGGGACCUAAGCCGAGGCCGAUAGGCGUAGGCGAUGGACAACAGGUUGAUAUUCCUGUACCAGUUGUUUUUGUUUGAGCAAUGGAGGGACGCAGUAGGCUAAGGAAUGCAUGCGAUUGGAAGUGCAUGUCCAAGCAAUGAGUCUUGAGUAGAGUUAAAUGCUUUACUCUUUAAGGACAAGUUGUGACGGGGAGCGAAAUAAUAGUAGCGAAGUUCCUGAUGUCACACUGCCAAGAAAAGCUUCUAGUGAGAAAACAACUGCCCGUACCGUAAACCGACACAGGUAGUCGAGGAGAGUAUCCUAAGG
rnacentral:rRNA from 1 species